GGCAACCUAACUUGGUAUUGAAUUCGUCAUCCAUGAUAUUCAAACCUAAGACCUCUUACUUCUAAGCGAAGAGGAAUACCAUUAGACCUUAAUAUUGAGUGGCACUUUCUUAGAUUUAGAAUAAAGUAAUUAUUGAGGAAAAAAAACGAAAAAGAAUGAAAACAUGAAUUAGACCAACCCACCAACCCAAUACAAAAAGGCCCAACUUUGUACAAAAGAAAAAUCAGAAUAAGAAACCCCCAAAAUGGGGAACAAAAAAAAAAAAUCCCCAACAUUUGUGACUUCUGUCGCCUCGCAGGUUCUAUCUCUGGUCCAUUGAGGUUCAUCAUUCAUCAAUUUUGAUUUCCCAGAGCAAUCAAGAAAUCAAGACUCCCCAUUUCUUCUUAUGAUUUAAUUUCCACUCCCCUACUCUGACUUGAUUGACUUUCCGCUGCAAAAAUUUCUUAGGAAAUAUAGCAUUGUUUGGGCUUCUAAUUCAAAGGGUGAGUUGAAUUGCUUGAGUUUGUCCGAGGGAUUUUUGUUUUAUUUUGGGGUGGAAGCAUCACAACCGCCAUCAAUGAAGAAUCACACUAGGCUCUGGCUUAGAACUUUUGACACAACAGAGGAAGUUGCUUUGGCCUACGACAAGGCAGCUUACAAGCUCAAAGGCGACUUUGCCAGGAGUUAUGGUGUGUUUGGUUAUUGAGAAAUUGUGGGAAGAGAUGGGAAGAUUUGGGAACGCCAUCAUUUUCUACGACAUGAGUGACAAGGCACGGGAGGUGUGGUCGAAGGUAGGGAUUGAUGUGGUGUGGUCGAAGGUAGGAAUCGAGGGUGGCUGAGUGACAGUGGAGAUGAAGGUGGGCAUUUCAAACAUUUAUAAAUAAUCACAUCUUUUUAUUAUUUUUUGUCCAGUGGUUCAAGCUUGACAUCCAUAUCAUCAUACAUAUGGGGUUUGCAUUUGCCAUGUCAUCAUUUAACGGCCAAAUUAACAGAAAAUUUAACGUAGGUCUGACAAUGCAAUGAAUUCGUAAGUCUUUUUCGAUUUAAUAGCAAUAACAAUUACCCUUUCCUUACUAUUGCUUUGGUAAAACGAGUGAAAUUGCUUUUACCUUAAAAAAAAUAUCAGUACACAUGGAAUAUUGAAAAAAAAGAAAGCAAACACAUGCCAUGAUUUUUACGGGUAUGUACAAAGUACAAUCAUAGUGACGGAGAGCGUGAAGUCCAAGUCUCAUACAGUGGCCAUGACCAAGCGGAAGUAACACGACUUUUUCAUUUUAUUUUUUAAAAAUGGAUCUGUUAAUGGCUUUGCCAUGACAGUCCACCAUUCUAGAGGUUGGAAGAGCACAUAGGCAUUUCAACCUUCGAGAGCCAACAUCGUGUGAUUCACCAACGCUAGAAAUCGAAUCAGAACGUGCAAUAUCAAAUAGAGAGAUUAUAUUCACACACUCUAAAUUACUUCUCCCACACCCCUUUAAUUUUGUAAUAUUUUCUACACACCCCUAGCACUUGAUAAAUAAAUAUUAAAAAAUUAAAAGGUUGCGGGAGAAGUAACUUGGGGUGUGUGAAUAUAACACACACUAACUUAGCGAACCGAUGCCCAAUUGACAAUCCUAUGAUUAGGACCGUUUUAGGAAUGAACAUAAGAGAAAGGUCUCUUUGACCUAACUUACUUAGAUCACUUCUUUCUUAGAUUGAAUACAUUCCAUGGAUUCUGUUAUUGAUAAACACAUGUUACACUAUAUAGUGAUUAACAAUAAGUUUUGAUUUUUCAUUAAACAAAUAAGAGUUUACAUCAUAAGUAUUCCAAUAGCUAUUAGAUCAAAUGAGUGGCUUUAAGGGCAUACUUCCAACAUCAUCAACUUACGGAUUCGUUGUAAUGUCAGGCUUUCAAUAAAUAUUAUGCCAAUUUGGCCAUAAAUUAUACGUGUCAAAUGUAGGGCCCAUAUUUUUGCUGAUACGAAUGUCAACUUUAAGUCCCAUGGACAAAAAAUAAUACAAAUUUGUUAUUAUUUAUAAAUAUUUAAAACUAAUAACAAAUAUUAUAAAAUAAGAAAAUAAUUUUUCACUUUGGACCAUACAUCCCCACCUUCGUCAUUACAGUCACCCCACCACCGCCUCAAAUCCUCAUUACUCCUCCCCUUUCCUCACUUUGUUCCCUUCUACCUCCUCCUCCUACUACGAUUUUCUCUCUUUCCAAAACCAGUCCAGUUCCUACAACAAUGGUUGUUCCACCUCUCCACGAACCAAGUUUUUUUAGACAAGUUCUUUGAGCAGCAUCACCAAUAAUUGCCGUCAAUGAAGAAUCACACUAGGCUCUGGCUUAGAACUUUUGACACGAUAGAGGAAGUUGCUUUGGCCUACGACAAGGCAACUUACAAGCUCAAAGGCGACUUUGCCAGGUUAAUUGCUUACACCUUCGCCAUAACAACUUCAUCUUCAGAGGCGGCUUUGGCGAGUACAAGUCAUGCAUUCCUUUGUUGAUGUUGCAAUGAAUGGGGUUACGUUUUUAUUUUUUAUUUUUUAUUUUAUUGUUUUUCCCUUCAAACAAAUUUCAGGAAUUAUGGUGUGUUUGGUUACUGAGAAAUUUUGGGAAGAGAUGGGAAGAUUUGGGAACGCCAUCAUUUUCAGCGAUAUGAGUGACAGGGCGCGGGAGGAGUGGUCAAAGGUAGGAAUUGAGGGUGGCUGAGUGACAGUGAAAACGAAGGUGGGCAUUUCAAACAUUUAUAAAUAAUCACAUCUUUUUAUUAUUUUUUGUCCAGUGGUUCAAGCUUGACAUCCAUAUCAGAAUACAUAAGGAGCUUGCAUUUGCCACGUCAUCAUUUAACAGCCAAAUUAACAGAAAAUUUAACGUAGGUCUGAUAUUGCAAUGAAUUCGUAAGUCUUUUUCGAUUUAAUAGCAAUAGCAAUUACCCUUUCCUUACUAUUGCUUUGGUAAAACUAGUGAAAUUACUUUUACCUUAAAAAAAAAUCAGUA